rnacentral:pre_miRNA from 1 species
UAUAUGCUCCCUCCGUCCCAAAAUUCUUGUCUUAGAUUUGUUUUGAUACGGAUGUCAAAUGUAAGACAAGAAUUUUGGGACGAAGGGAGUAGUAG